rnacentral:rRNA from 1 species
CAUCGCCGCGGUAAUACGAAGGGUGCAAGCGUUACUCGGAAUUACUGGGCGUAAAGCGUGCGUAGGUGGUGGUUUAAGUCCGUUGUGAAAGCCCUGGGCUCAACCUGGGAAUUGCAGUGGAUACUGGGUCACUAGAGUGUGGUAGAGGAUAGUGGAAUUUCCGGUGUAGCAGUGAAAUGCGUAGAGAUCGGAAGGAACAUCUGUGGCGAAGGCGACUAUCUGGGCCAACACUGACACUGAGGCACGAAAGCGUGGGGAGCAAACAGGAUUAGAUACCCCAGUAGUCCCUGUCUCUUAUACA